rnacentral:rRNA from 1 species
AACGAACGCUGGCGGCAGGCUUAACACAUGCAAGUCGAACGCCCCGCAAGGGGAGUGGCAGACGGGUGAGUAACGCGUGGGAAUCUACCCAUCCCUACGGAACAACUCCGGGAAACUGGAGCUAAUACCGUAUACGCCCUUAGGGGGAAAGAUUUAUCGGGGAUGGAUGAGCCCGCGUUGGAUUAGCUAGUUGGUGGGGUAAAGGCCUACCAAGGCGACGAUCCAUAGCUGGUCUGAGAGGAUGAUCAGCCACAUUGGGACUGAGACACGGCCUAAACUCCUACGGGAGGCAGCAGUGGGGAAUAUUGGACAAUGGGCGCAAGCCUGAUCCAGCCAUGCCGCGUGAGUGAUGAAGGCCUUAGGGUUGUAAAGCUCUUCCACCGAUGAAGAUAAUGACGGUAGUCGGAGAAGAAGCCCCGGCUAACUUCGUGCCAGCCGCCGCAGUAAUAC